GGCCCGGUGGCGGGUGCCACACCGCGCUGUGUUGGGAACCCUCAAUACCGGAGGGACGCUCGUUCGACUCGAGCCUGGGCCG